rnacentral:sRNA from 1 species
CCUGCUCUAAAUAUAAUCUGUGUUAUUUUCACUAAUAAUGCCCAUCAUAUCCAAGGACCAAGCCAAUCGCGUUUCAAAAAAUACAUUAAGUUUUGGCCAUUGCCUCUAUUUGCCCCUUCCAGGCAUCGUCAUCACCUAUCUCAUCAUCCCAUCCUCUUCGCAACUACAGAUGAGAAACUAACGAAUCGCAAAUAGAUCAUGAAUUGGAUUUUUUGCUGUGGCUCUCCUGCACCUAAAAAUACAAACCUCGGCCUCUUGGCAGCGACGAUCCGGCCCUUCGCGCUAUCAGCACUACGACUACUGCUAAUAGCUAGCGACCGUUGAGGGAUGCUGGAGCGACCGGACAUUGGACAAUGGAACUCUGGACUCUGGGCUCUACUACUGGACUUGCUGUGGUAGUCCUGUACGAGCCGACAACGACUCAACCAGUCCGAGCAAACUCCGCCCUGCAAGCCACGUUGUCAAAAAAAAUAAAAUAAAUAAAUAAAUAAAAAAAGGUUUUUUUUCGCACUAGUUCUCAGAUUCACAGCUUUUCUCCGCGGUCGUCUCCAAGCAAGAUAGCACCAGUAUCAAAACGGAUAGCUCGCGGUUUUUGGACACUGAAUCCCAUUUACGCUCGUUAAGGUUUUAGUGCUUGUCCUCGGCGGACACUCCCGGUAGACUCAAGAUCGGUAGCGAGCUUCAAGAUUAACCUUCCCAGGUCCUUGUAUAGAUAAACACCUCCAGCGGGAAUGUGGAUGCGAGAAGUGACCGAGUAUGUGUAUAUCGAAAAAAGGAGUAUAUGUAGAAAAACAAAAUUGUUUACAAAAAUAAUAAAUAAAA